rnacentral:rRNA from 1 species
UAUGCACACGAUCGGAAAUGUGUGUCCAAGCAGCAAGUCUGAGAACGAGUGAAAUGCUUUUUCUCUCAAGGACAAGCUGUGAUGGGGAGCGAAAUUUAGUAGCGAAGUUCCUGAUGUCACACUGCCAAGAAAAGCUUCUAGUGAGAAAGUAACUGCCCGUACCGCAAACCGACACAGGUAGUUGAGGAGAGAAUCCUAAGGUGUGCGAGAGAACUCUCGUUAAGGAACUCGGCAAAAUGACCCCGUAACUUCGGGAGAAGGGGUGCUGACCGCAAGGUCAGCCACAGUGAAUAGGCCCAAGCGACUGUUUAUCAAAAACACAGGUCUCUGCAAAAUCGAAAGAUGACGUAUAGGGGCUGACGCCUGCCCGGUGCUGGAAGGUUAAGAGGAGAGGUUAGCGCAAGCGAAGCUUUGAAUUGAAGCCCCAGUAAACGGCGGCCGUAACAAUAACGGUCCUAAGGUAGCGAAAUUCCUUGUCGGGUAAGUUCCGACCCGCACGAAAGGCGUAACGGUUUGGGCACUGUCUCAACGAGAGACUCGGUGAAAUUAUAGUACCAGUGAAGAUGCUGGUUACCCGCGACAGGACGGAAAGACCCCAUGGAGCUUUACUGCAGUUUGAUAUUGCGUGUUUGUAUCACAUGUACAGGAUAGGUAGGAGCCGAAGAUACCGGGACGCCAGUCUCGGAGGUGGCAACGGUGGGAUACUACCCUUGUGAUAUGACCACUCUAACCCGCUGCUCUUAGCGAGCAGGGAGACAGUGUCAGACGGGCAGUUUGACUGGGGCGGUCGCCUCCAAAAAUGUAACGGAGGCGCCCAAAGGUUCCCUCAGAAUGGUUGGAAAUCAUUCGUAGAGUGUAAAGGCAGAAGGGAGCUUGACUGCGAGACCUACAAGUCGAGCAGGGACGAAAGUCGGGCUUAGUGAUCCGGUGGUUCCGCAUGGAAGGGCCAUCGCUCAACGGAUAAAAGCUACCCUGGGGAUAACAGGCUUAUCUCCCCCAAGAGUUCACAUCGACGGGGAGGUUUGGCACCUCGAUGUCGGCUCAUCGCAUCCUGGGGCUGUAGUCGGUCCCAAGGGUUGGGCUGUUCGCCCAUUAAAGCGGUACGCGAGCUGGGUUCAGAACGUCGUGAGACAGUUCGGUCCCUAUCCGUCGCGGGCGUUGGAAAUUUGAGAGGAGCUGUCCUUAGUACGAGAGGACCGGGAUGGACACACCGCUGGUGUACCAGUUGUUCUGCCAAGAGCAUCGCUGGGUAGCUAUGUGUGGACGGGAUAAACGCUGAAAGCAUCUAAGCGUGAAGCCCCCCUCAAGAUGAGAUUUCCCAUCACUUUAAGUGAGUAAGACCCCUGAGAGAUGAUCAGGUAGAUAGGUUGGGAGUGGAAGUACAGCGAUGUAUGGAGCGGACCAAUACUAAUCGGUCGAGGACUUAACCU